ensembl:lncRNA
GCCCAGCUUUUUUAAAUGUAAGACUAUUUUGAUGAAAGAAGCAGUGUCCUGAUAACUGGACAGCAGUAGAAUUUCAUUCUCCAAUUAUAAUGGCUAUCAAAGCAUCUCUGCAGAAGGUGGCAGCCAGAGACUGGAGAAGGUUUGUCAUAGCUUUGACAUCCUUUGAACCAUAAAGAAGGCUGAGUGCCAAAGAGUUGAUGCUUUUGAAUUGUGGUGCUGGAGAAGACUCUUGAGAGACCCUUGGACAGUAAGGAGAUCAAACCAGUCAAUCCCAAAGGAAAUCAACCCUGAAUAUUCACUGGAAGGACUGAUGCUGAAGUUGAAGCUCCAAUACUUUGGCCACCUGUUGCAAACAGCUGACUCAUUGGAAAAGACCCUGAUGCUGAGAAAGAUUGAAGGCAAAAGGAGGAGGGGGGCAUCAGAGGAUGAGAUGGUUAGAUAGCAUCACUGACUCAAUGGACAUGAAUCUGAACAAACUCUGGGAGAUAGAGAAGGACAGGUGAGUCUGGCAUGCUGUAUUCCAUGUGGUCGCAAACAGUUGGACACAACUUAGUGACUGAACAACAGCAACUAAUGUUUGAUUCUUUUACACUUCAAGUCAUCAAGUAACUUGAAUAUAUUAAGAUAAAUCCCAUAUGCUCUUUUCCUCCAAGAUACAUUCCAGAUAGUUUCCUAGAUAACCUUUCCAUUCAGUCAGUUCCCUGUCUUAAAUUUCCCAU